AGGAAAAGCACUUGGGACCAGGAGGAGC
rnacentral:piRNA from 1 species